rnacentral:rRNA from 1 species
UACGGAGGAGGCAAGCGUUAUCCGGAAUUAUUGGGCGUAAAGCGUCCGCAGGUGACGAUUCAAGUCUGCGGUCAAAGACUGGGGCUUAACCCUGGAAAGGCCGUGGAAACUGAAUAGCUAGAGUGCAGUAGGGGUAGAGGGAAUUCCCGGUGUAGCGGUGAAAUGCGUAGAGCUCGGGAAGAACAUCGGUGGCGAAAGCGCUCUGCUGGACUGCAACUGACACUCAGGGACGAAAGCUAGGGGAGCGAAUGGG